rnacentral:rRNA from 1 species
GACAGAGGGUGCAAACGUUGUUCGGAAUUACUGGGCGUAAAGCGCGUGUAGGCUGCUUCGCAAGUCGGAUGUGAAAGCCCUGGGACUCAACCCAGGAAGUGCAUUCGAAACUGCAGAGCUGGAGUCCUGGAGAGGAAGGCGGAAUUCUCGGUGUAGAGGUGAAAUUCGUAGAUAUCGAGAGGAACACCGGUGGCGAAGGCGGCCUUCUGGACAGUGACUGACGCUGAGACGCGAAAGCGUGGGGAGCGAACAGG